rnacentral:rRNA from 1 species
GACGGAGGAUGCAAGUGUUAUCCGGAAUCACUGGGCGUAAAGCGUCUGUAGGUGGUUUAAUAAGUCAACUGUUAAAUCUUGAGGCUCAACCUCAAAAUCGCAGUCGAAACUAUUAGGCUAGAGUAUAGUAGGGGUAAAGGGAAUUUCCAGUGGAGCGGUGAAAUGCGUAGAGAUUGGAAAGAACACCGAUGGCGAAGGCACUUUACUGGGCUAUUACUAACACUCAGAGACGAAAGCUAGGGUAGCAAAUGGA